GCUGCCGCCCCUGGCCUGCCAGGACCCAGAGGGAGCGGAGCACGCGCCUUUGGGAAUCUUCGGUGCGCCAAGUCUGUUCGCCGCCGGGGUCUAUCACCCCCGCCCCUCGCCUCUGCCCGUGAGCGUGUGAGUUGUAGCGUACCCUGGGGUCUGUUCUGGAGGAGGCCUGAGAGCGGGGUUGCCUGGGGCGUGGGUCUCUCAUCCCUCUCGUCCUGGUGAAGAAGAAGAGUAUACCCAGCGGGAAUCUUGGUACCAAUAAUUGCAGAGGUAGAAGUCAGAGAAUGGCCUGUCCAGAAGACAGCCAAAUACAUCCUUCAAACAGACUUCACUGCAGGAGACAGAGUGGAUUCAUCCUGUAUUCUCCAUGUAGACUUCCAUCUUCAUGAGUACUCCAAGAAGAUGGUUCAGUUGACUAUUGCAAAGAUCACCGCCAGAUGCAAAAAACCACCGCUAAGCAUUUUGUAAAAUGCUGAGACAUAUUUGAGCAACUCUUGAUGAAGGCCCUGACCACAUUUCUUUCAUGUUCUAGACAAAAUACCUGGAGAGAAUGGCAAGCUUCCAGGCUCUUGCUCAGCCUUUCUUCCCCCUUGUCAGUGCAGUCAGGGAUAAGCAUCUAUUUUUAAUUAAUAGUAUUUCUUAAGAAUGAAAACACCAUUCACUUUUGCAACUGUCAACUUAAGUACAGCUGCUGUUUUGAGCUAUGUCUUUUAUAAUCGGAGUGGAUUCCAUACCUCUCAUCCCUGGAUUUUCAUCUUGUGGCACUGGAUGUUGAAUGGCUCAGUGCCUCUGAUAAGAAAAAAAUUGUGCUUCAAGUUUAUGAAUAAGUAGGAGAUAUCUUGGACCUGGGAAAUGGAGAGGAUUUUACCACAAUUGUGUCUGUGUCAGACUCUGCAAAUUGCCUGCUUUCUUGCUAACAGAACUCUGAUUUGGGGACUGAAGGAGGAGAGUGGGCCACAAUGUGCCCAGCUCGAGGCAGUGGCUCAUUAUAGGUCUAAGCUCUAAGCUGGUCACAAAAUUCUGCACCUGGUUUUCCCAGUCAAUCCUGGCCAUUGAGAUAUAAGGGGAAGACUGCUGAGUCUGGGAUAGCUUUUGCUUUCCUGUAAAAAGGAACAGAUGUAUCUGGUUCGACCCCUUUUCUGACCUUUCUGAACAUGGCUGUGAUGCCUGAAGCCACAGCCACCAUCUUGUGUCCAUGAAGAAACAGGCACAACAGCAGAGCUGAAGAAGCAAUGGCUGAGAUAGAGCAGAGCUGCUGACCCCAUGCCAGCAGCUGCCUACUGCCAGACUUUGUAUUAGGUGAGAAAAAAAUAAGAUCUUAUUUAAGCCACUGGAUGUCAAGUUAUCAAGGAAUGCUGAUAAAUUCAUUCCUGAGUCCACCAUCUGGUCUUCUCUAACACAUUUGCUGGAUCUUGGUCAAACCAGCAGGAGUUUCAGAGCAGACUCACAUCCUCUGCAUCAGCAACGACACAGGGCACUCAUGCUGUUAGAGCUGCUGUGCCUAGUCACUUACCUCCUCCCAAGGCUGAGCACAGAACUUUUUCAUCAUCUCAGUCACCUUUUCCUGAGAGACUUUCUCUGAUGUCAAGUUUAAAAACUUCAUCACAAAGUAAAAAGCUGAAAAUGCCUACAAGAGAAAAUCGCAGUUUUAGGCUGUGUUCCACACAGAGGGAUGCCAACUUGCUCUCCUAAAGGCCGCAUCCCUUGUGCAGGUGCCUGGAAAGUUCUGCUGAGUAAAUUAACACACAAAGUGAUAUUGCAGGCCCAAGAGCUGUUUCCUUCCUGGAAGAGGAGCCACUUUGCUGCUGACACACAUUUCUAAGCCACCUGGCAGUUACUUUUCUCCAUAAUUGUAAUAGAAGAGUCAGGGAGAAAGAAAAAUGGGGAAAGAGAAUAAGAAAAGAGAGAGAAAGGGGUUGCAAAAAUCCCAUUUAAAAAUACUAUGUAC
ensembl:lncRNA ENTPD1-AS1 ENTPD1 antisense RNA 1